AAGAAUUCUGUCUUUAAACUGCAUUAAGAGCAAACUAUAUUGUAAAACUGAAAUAAAAGUUAAGAAUUUGGCUUUAUAUUGAGACUCUGCCAUUUAGGUCUCUAUUUUUGCCUGCAUAACCUGGCUAAGGGAAGUGCAUGCAAGAAAUAAAUCAUCCAGAAAUCAUUUUCACUG